UACGUAGGGGGCGAGCGUUGUCCGGAUUUAUUGGGCGUAAAGCGCUCGCAGGCGGUCCGAUGCGUCGUGCGUGAAAGCCCCCGGCUCAACUGGGGAGGGUCACGCGAUACUGAUCGACUCGAAGGCAGGAGAGGGUAGUGGAAUUCCCGGUGUAGUGGUGAAAUGCGUAGAUAUCGGAAGGAACAUCAGUGGCGAAAGCGACUUCCUGGACCAGUACCGACGUUCAGGCACGAAAGCGUGGGGAGCAAACAGG
rnacentral:rRNA from 1 species